UACAGAGGGUGCGAGCGUUAAUCGGAAUUACUGGGCGUAAAGCGUGCGUAGACGGUUAUUUAAGUCGGGUGUGAAAGCCCCGGGCUCAACCUGGGAAUUGCAUUCGAGACUGAAUAGCUAGGGUACGGUAGAGGGAAGCGGAAUUUCCGGUGUAGCGGUGAAAUGCGUAGAUAUCUGGAGGAACACCGGUGGCGAAGGCGGCGUCCUGGACCAACACUGACACUGAUGAACGAAAGCCAGGGGAGCAAACGGG
rnacentral:rRNA from 1 species